GACGAACGCUGGCGGCGUGCCUAACACAUGCAAGUCGAGCGAGUGGAUCUCCUUCGGGAGUGAAGCUAGCGGCGGACGGGUGAGUAACACGUGGGCAACCUGCCUCAUAGAGGGGAAUAGCCUUUCGAAAGGAAGAUUAAUACCGCAUAAGAUUGUAGCUUCGCAUGAAGUAGCAAUUAAAGGAGCAAUCCGCUAUGAGAUGGGCCCGCGGCGCAUUAGCUAGUUGGUGAGGUAACGGCUCACCAAGGCGACGAUGCGUAGCCGACCUGAGAGGGUGAUCGGCCACAUUGGGACUGAGACACGGCCCAGACUCCUACGGGAGGCAGCAGUGGGGAAUAUUGCACAAUGGGGGAAACCCUGAUGCAGCAACGCCGCGUGAGUGAUGACGGCCUCGGUUGUAAGCUCUGUCUUCUGGACGAGUAAUAGACGGUACCGUCGAGGAGGAAGGCCGAACGGCGUAACUAACGUGCCAGCAGCCGCGGUAAAC
rnacentral:rRNA from 1 species